rnacentral:rRNA from 1 species
GACGAACGCCGGCGGCGUGCUUAACACAUGCAAGUCGAACGGAAAGGCCCUGCUUUUGUGGGGUGCUCGAGUGGCGAACGGGUGAGUAACACGUGAGUAACCUGCCCUUGACUUUGGGAUAACUUCAGGAAACUGGGGCUAAUACCGGAUAGGAGCUCCUGCUGCAUGGUGGGGGUUGGAAAGUUUCGGCGGUUGGGGAUGGACUCGCGGCUUGUCAGCUUGUUGGUGGGGUAGUGGCUUACCAAGGCUUUGACGGGUAGCCGGCCUGAGAGGGUGACCGGCCACAUUGGGACUGAGAUACGGCCCAGACUCCUACGGGAGGCAGCAGUGGGGAAUAUUGCACAAUGGGCGGAAGCCUGAUGCAGCAACGCCGCGUGCGGGAUGACGGCCUUCGGGUUGUAAACCGCUUUCGCCUGUGACGAAGCGUGAGUGACGGUAAUGGGUAAAGAAGCACCGGCUAACUACGUG